GGCAGCGUGACCGAGUGGUUAAGGUGACAGACUUGAAUUUCUCAUUCUAUGAUAUCUGUUGUGUUCGCACGCGUCGGUUCAAAUCCGGCCGCUGUCG